rnacentral:lncRNA from 1 species
AAGCAACGUGUUUCUGGGCCUUUCUGGGCCUGUUGUUCACCUUUGAUACAUUAUAGUAUCUUUUAGGUAAGAGUUAGUUUUCACUGACUUCCCUUUAUGAAAAAUUGUCAUCAGUAAUAAUUUGAGCAUCCGGUUUUGACAGGCUGGACUCUUGAGGAAUAGGUUAACAGCAAUGUUCAUAACAGUGCUUCAUGGAGAAAACAAAGCUGACAUUUUUAACAUUCACUGUAAAACCCAGCUUCUCUUAGAUGCCAUCAAGCACCGCUGUGACUGUGAGGAAGAAGAUGAAAUAGAGUUGGCAGAUGAGAAUGGCCAAAUAAAGAAUUUACUUCAGAACAAACACUGCACUGCAGCUGACCUUCUUGGAGAACGCGAAACCUACGUGCUCAUUAGUGUGGAGACUAAACUAGGGAACUGGCAAGAACGCAAAGUCCCCUCUCCCAGGAUGAAAUCUAGAAGGCCGCACAAAAAAGCCGUUUUGGAUAUCACAACCACCGAAGGCUUACGAAAUCAUUCUCCUCAUAGCAGUCGAGCAAGGACACCCAUUGCUUCUCCAAAACAAAGCAGGAAAUUCUGAUUUUCUGUUGGACUUCAGGUCAUAGGCACUGCUUAUUUUGCAGAGGGGCUGCAAUUUUAUUGGCUCAUACCUGGGAGUUAGCUGCAGGGAACAGAAGGAGCCUUGAUUAUGGGUUAGAAAAGAAGACAUCCAUGCUGUAUUCCAGAAUAUCGAAAUAUAGUGGAAUAAGUAAAUGAUGUCAGAAUGCAGCCUAAGAGAAAGUGGGUGGGGGCAUUGGUAUCCACAAGGGGUGUUAUGUAUGCCUUUGGGAGCUAAAUUUGGAGACUGUUGUUUCCCUAUUUUUUUCCUAGAGGUGAUGGGUUUUGUUUUUGGCUACUUCAGAACUUUGACACUUUUUUAGUUUGAGUUCGUUUUUCCCAAACACCUUUUGUCUAUUAUUGUCUUUCCAAAUGGCUCUUUGAUCCAGGAAAGGGGCAGCUUGCUUCUGAUGCAAGACCACAAGAGUUACCAGCCAGAAGAUGGAACUGACUUCCAAGGGUCUCAAACACUCUCAGAAAUCACAGGAAGACCUGUGCCCCAACUCAGAUGUGACCAAAGUCAAUAGUGAAAUAACUCAGAAAUGCCAGCAAUGUCGUAAAUCAGUAUCGCCACAGCUCAGAAGUACAAGAGCCUGCAGGUUUCUGCAUUACAGGGCAGUGUAACAAGAUCAGGCCUACUUUAAAAAAGAAGAAAAAUCUUCCAGNCCAACUGCAGAUGGAAAAGAUACUCCCUAAAAGCCGCCUUGAUCAGUUUCUUCAGAGGAAAGUAGAAAUGCAAAGUAUCCCCUGACGGUUNCGUUCUGAUAAAAUCACUCAGACCCAUUUACACUGCUUUUCUACAAGUUAACCUUGAGGCCCACAUGUAAGAGAGCAUAUAUUGCAACUCCACCCAGAUUUUCUGAGUGGAAAAAAUGUAUCAUUUUUUAAAAGUUACCUCCUUCCACUAUGUGGACAGGUACACCUGGACUCUGGUUUGUGUAGGGAAGGAAAGGACUGUAUUUGGAAGAGAAUGCCUUUCCCUAUAGCAAACUGGAAGCAGAAGCCCUAUGGAUCAAUAAUCAGUUCUCUGCAGGAAAACACUCUCUUCCCAGUAAUGCUUCUCCCCUCCCUGCAUGAACUGGAGUUCAGGAGUAUCUGCAUUCACCAGAGGGGUCAGGUUACCUUCAAAAGGAAAGAUUUUCUGCUCCCUCAUGUGGAAUGGUAGCUAUCUCAUAUCCUUAGCUGAGUGCACAUUUUUUAUUGGUAGUGGUGAUCAGAAGAAUUGACUUCAAGUGGAUUUGGCAAACCCCUAGUUUACCAGCUGACUUUAUGCCUACAUUGGCAGAAUUAUGAGCAUAUGUUAGCUUUCNCCCUUUCCUAGAACUCAGCCACCCUUGUUAGCUUUUGUUACAGAUGCAGCCUUUCCUCUGUGUUGUGAUUAAUCUUUGCAUGUGCUGCUGGGAACUGCUAGAUGUUUUGAGAACUCAAGACCAUAGGGGAGGUGAUCUUGGUAUGAGUUGUCGGAGCUAGGUGGAAAUAGGAUGUUUGAUAUAUACUCUGUNUUGAAUAAUACACUUUGUGAUUGUUUAUUAAAUAAAGCUGAUAAGCA